AUUGAACGCUGGCGGCAGGCCUAACACAUGCAAGUCGAACGGUAACAGGAAGAAGCUUGCUUCUUUGCUGACGAGUGGCGGACGGGUGAGUAAUGUCUGGGAAACUGCCUGGUGGAGGGGGAUAACUACUGGAAACGGUAGCUAAUACCGCAUAACGUCGCAAGACCAAAAAGGGGGACCUUCGGGCCUCUUGCCAUCGGAUGUGCCCAGAUGGGAUUAGCUAGUAGGUGGGGUAACGGCUCACCUAGGCGACGAUCCCUAGCUGGUCUGAGAGGAUGACCAGCCACACUGGAACUGAGACACGGUCCAGACUCCUACGGGAGGCAGCAGUGGGGAAUAUUGCACAAUGGGCGCAAGCCUGAUGCAGCCAUGCCGCGUGUAUGAAGAAGGCCUUCGGGUUGUAAAGUACUUUCAGCGGGGAGGAAGGGAGUAAAGUUAAUACCUUUUCUCAUUGACGUUACCCGCAGAAGAAGCACCGGCUAACUCCGUG
rnacentral:rRNA from 1 species